AACGCGAAGAACCUUACCAGGGCUUGACAUGCAUCUGCAAGCCGCCGAAAAGUGGUCGCCUUCGAGGGUGAUGCACAGGUGGUGCAUGGCUGUCGUCAGCUCGUGUUGUGAAAUGUUGGGUUAAGUCCCGCAACGAGCGCAACCCUCAUGUUCUGUUGCCAGCGAGUAAAGUCGGGAACUCGGAACAAACUGCCUCUGUAAAGAGGAGGAAGGUGGGGAUGACGUCAAGUCAUCAUGCCCCUUACGCCCUGGGCUGCACAUAUGCUACAAUGGCCGGUACAAAGAGCUGCUAAGUCGCGAGGCCAAGCAAAUCUCAAAAAGCCGGUCUCAGUUCGGAUUGGAGUCUGCAACUCGACUCCAUGAAGUCGGAAUCGCUAGUAACCGCCGGUCAGCAAUACGGCGGUGAAUACGUUCCCGGGCCUUGUACACACCGACUGUAC
rnacentral:rRNA from 1 species